AUCCAUCUGACGAGUCUUGAAUAGGAUGAAACGCGCGUACUGAAU
rnacentral:hammerhead_ribozyme from 1 species